GUAGCAUAAUCAUUUGUUCUAUAAUGGAGAACUGGAAUGAACGAGUUGUCAAUGCUUACCCUUUUCUUUCAUCUUUAUAGAAUUUAAUAUUUACUUCAAAAAGAGUAAAUUUCUAGAAAGACGAUAAGACCCUAUAAAACUUUGAAUCAGAAAAUUUAUUAAACUUUUAGAAAAAAAAGGCUAUAAAAUACUGAUUGAGCUGGGGCGGCAAUUAUAUCUCAAUAAAAAAUUUAACUUGUAUAUAAGAAUAAAAAGAUCUUUUUUAAAAGAUAGAAUAAGUUACUUUAGGGAUAACAGCACAAUUUUCUCCUAGAGAUCUUAUCGAAGAGAAAGCUUGUGACCUCGAUGUUGAAUUGAGGAGCCUAAUUUAAGCAAAAAUAAAUUAAGGGGGUCUGUUCGACCUUUAAAACCUCA
rnacentral:rRNA from 1 species